rnacentral:misc_RNA from 1 species
GAAAUGCGAUAAGUAAUGUGAAUUGCAGAAUUCAGUGAAUCAUCGAAUCUUUGAACGCACCUUGCGCUCCUUGGUAUUCCGAGGAGCAUGCCUGUUUGAGUGUCAUGGAAUUCUCAACUCUAUUUGCUUUUGUGAAUAGAGCUUGGAUUUGGAGGUUUAUUGCUGGUACUUGUGAUCGGCUCCUCUUGAAUGCAUUAGCUCGAACCUUUGCGGAUCAGCUAUCGGUGUGAUAAUUGUCUACGCCGUUGCAGUGAAGCAUAUCAAUGGGCUCGGCUUCCAAUCGUCCUUUACUGGACAAUGACUUUGACCUUUGACCUCAAAUCAGGUAGGAUUAUCCGCUGAACCUAAGC